rnacentral:lncRNA from 1 species
AUGUUCAUCCAUUCGGAAAAUUUUGAGGAUCACAAACACUUGUCAUUUAAUCAUGUUACAAUUCAACAAAAGUGGAUGACAUCUAAACUUGUAGUCUACUUCUAGUUACAACACUUGCGCCCAAGAUCCAUCCUGUCACCUGAAAUACAUGUAAUUUUGGAAAACAUCAACAUAAAGUUGAGCGAGUUCAUGCGUUUUGCAUACCGAGUAUGAAAACAUGGUAUGUAUCUUGUAUAAAUAAAGUAUUCUUGCAAAAAUCAAGUUUUCUUGUGUACACCACGUACUAAUUGAAUGUUUGUACAAAGACAUUUCGGCAUGUGAGGACAUAUGGAGCAUUAGUGUUGGCUCCUUUAAGGCAUGUGAGGACUUAUGGAGCAUUAGUGUUGGCUCCUUUAACUAUGUCGAUUACCCUCGACUGUGUCGAUUAACCUCGACUGUGUCAAUUUCCCUUGACUGUGUCGAUUACCCUCGACUGU